GGCGGAGUAGUUUAAUUGUUAAAAUGUGAUUUUUCAUUAAGUCAAGAUAGAGGUUCAAAUCCUUUCUCCGCCA
rnacentral:tRNA from 1 species